AGAGUUUGAUCCUGGCUCAGAGCGAACGCUGGCGGCAGGCCUAACACAUGCAAGUCGAGCGCCCCGCAAGGGGAGCGGCAGACGGGAGAGUAACACGUGGGAACGUGCCCUUCAGUUCGGAACAACCCAGGGAAACUUGGGCUAAUACCGGAUACGUCCGUAAGGAGAAAGAUUUAUCGCUGAAGGAUCGGCCCGCGUCUGAUUAGCUAGUUGGUGAGGUAACGGCUCACCAAGGCGACGAUCAGUAGCUGGUCUGAGAGGAUGAUCAGCCUCACUGGGACUGAGACACGGCCCAGACUCCUACGGGAGGCAGCAGUGGGGAAUAUUGGACAAUGGGCGCAAGCCUGAUCCAGCCAUGCCGCGUGGAUGAUGAAGGCCCUAGGGUUGUAAAGUCCUUUCGGCGGGGAAGAUAAUGACGGUACCCGCAGAAGAAGCCCCGGCUAACUUCGUGCCAGCAGCCGCGGUAAUACGAAGGGGGCUAGCGUUGCUCGGAAUCACUGGGCGUAAAGCGCACGUAGGCGGCUUUUUAAGUCAGGGGUGAAAUCCUGGAGCUCAACUCCAGAACUGCCCUUGAUACUGAGAAGCUUGAGUCCGGGAGAGGUGAGUGGAACUGCGAGUGUAGAGGUGAAAUUCGUAGAUAUUCGCAAGAACACCAGUGGCGAAGGCGGCUCACUGGCCCGGUACUGACGCUGAGAUGCGAAAGCGUGGGGAGCAAACAGGAUUAGAUACCCCGGUAGUCC
rnacentral:rRNA from 1 species